UACGUAGGGUGCAAGCGUUGUCCGGAAUUAUUGGGCGUAAAGAGCUCGUAGGCGGUUUGUCGCGUCGAAUGUGAAAACCCGGGGCUCAACCCCGGGCCUGCAUUCGAUACGGGCAAACUAGAGUAUUGCAGGGGAGACUGGAAUUCCUGGUGUAGCGGUGAAAUGCGCAGAUAUCGGGAGGAACACCGGUGGCGAAGGCGGUUCUCUGGGCCUUACCUGACGCUGAGGAGCGAAAGCGUGGGGAGCGAACAGG
rnacentral:rRNA from 1 species